UACAGAGGGUGCAAGCGUUAAUCGGAAUUACUGGGCGUAAAGCGUGCGUAGACGGUAGCGCAAGUCGGGCGUGAAAGCCCCGGGCUCAACCUGGGAAUUGCAUUCGAGACUGCUCUGCUAGGGUGCGGAAGAGGGGAGCGGAAUUUCCGGUGUAGCGGUGAAAUGCGUAGAUAUCGGAAGGAACACCAGUGGCGAAAGCGGCUCCCUGGUCCAGCACCGACGUUCAGGCACGAAAGCGUGGGGAGCAAACAGG
rnacentral:rRNA from 1 species